UACAGAGGGUGCAAGCGUUAAUCGGAAUUACUGGGCGUAAAGCGUGCGUAGACGGUUGCGUAAGUCAGAUGUGAAAGCCCCGGGCUCAACCUGGGAAUUGCAUUUGAGACUGCGUAGCUAGGGUGCGGAAGAGGGAAGCGGAAUUUCCGGUGUAGCGGUGAAAUGCGUAGAUAUCCGGAGGAACACCGGUGGCGAAGGCGGCUUCCUGGACCGACACUGACGCUGAGGCGCGAAAGCUAGGGGAGCAAACGGG
rnacentral:rRNA from 1 species